CCCCCAUUAGCUCAGUCGGUUAGAGCGCUGGUCUUAUGAGCCGGAGGUCAUGGGUUCGAGCCCCAUACGGGGGA